AGCAUAUGGAGAAUGCCUUGACUCGUAUGAGCGAUGAAGGACGUAGCAGGCUGCGAUAAGCCUCGGGGAGCUGCCAAGCAAGCUUUGCUAUUUGAAUACAUAGAAUAGUAAGGUAAACCUAGUGAACUGAAACAUCUUAGUAGCUAGAGGAAUAGAAAUCAAUAGAGAUUCCGUCAGUAGUGGCGAGCGAAAGCGGAACAGUCUAAACCUGUUGUCUUAUAUUUUUUAGUAAAACACUUUGGGAAGAGUGGCCAUAGAAGGUAACAGCCCUGUAUACGAAAAAAGAUAUAAAACAAUGAGACUAUCCUCAAGUAGGACGGGACCGGAGAAAUCCUGUCUGAAUCUGGGAGCACUAACUUCCAAGACUAAAUAUUAUACGAGAUCGAUAGUGAACAAGUACCGUGAGGGAAAGGUGAAAAGCAUCCCGAUGAGGGAGAUGAAAUAGAACGGGCCAACGAGUUAAUUUUAUACGGCUUGCAUAAAUCACUCUGUGAGAUAUGCGUAGUGAAAGCGAGGCUUAACCGCCGACCAUUGUCGUAUGAAUUAGACCCGAAGCCAGGCGAGCUACGCAUGAGCAGGGUGAACCCCAAGUAACAUUGGGGGGAGGCCCGAACCCACUAAUCGUUUAACGUUAGGGGAUGACUUGUGCGUAGGGGAGAAAUUCCAAUCGAGCUUGGCGAUAGCUGGUUCUCUCCGAAAUAGCUUUAGGGCUAGCGUUCGGGAAAUGAGCAA
rnacentral:rRNA from 1 species